rnacentral:rRNA from 1 species
GAUGAACGCUGGCGGCGUGCCUAAUACAUGCAAGUCGAGCGAACGGACGAGAAGCUUGCUUCUCUGAUGUUAGCGGCGGACGGGUGAGUAACACGUGGAUAACCUACCUAUAAGACUGGGAUAACUUCGGGAAACCGGGGCUAAUACCGGAUAAUAUUUUGAACCGCAUGGUUCAAAAGUGAAAGACGGUCUUGCUGUCACUUAUAGAUGGAUCCGCGCUGCAUUAGCUAGUUGGUAAGGUAACGGCUUACCAAGGCAACGAUGCAUAGCCGACCUGAGAGGGUGAUCAGCCACACUGGAACUGAGACACGGUCCAGACUCCUACGGGAGGCAGCAGUAGGGAAUCUUGCGCAAUGGGCGAAAGCCUGACGGAGCAACGCCGCGUGAGUGAUGAAGGUCUUCGGAUCGUAAAACUCUGUUAUUAGGGAAGAACAUAUGUGUAAGUAACUGUGCACAUCUUGACGGUACCUAAUCAGAAAGCCACGGCUAACUACGUG